GUAUUUUUUGUAUAGCGACUUUUUCAUGUAAACUAACGGACUUUAAAAAUUCUCUACAGUAUUUCCUUUUAUUUUUCAUAUCUGUCAGGAUUGGCUGCCUAAAGGACGCCAUCUGUCUGUAAGAACAGAAUGGCAACUUAACGGGAGGAGCAAAUUUUACCCACAAACAGCAAUUCCUCCUUUAGGCAAAGUGAGUUCCAAUAAGGGUGGAUGGAAAAUGAACCCAAGCGCGCUUAAAAGUAACAAUAGUAAUUAUACAGACAUGCCUCCCCUAACAGGACCUGCUGAGAAAAGAGGAAGGCGUGGCUAAAGUGAGAACUACGUUGCGUUUGCUCAGUAUUGGUUUUAGGUUGGUGCUCGAGACUCGGGAGUGCGCUUGCGCCUGGCGGGGGUAGAGUUUAGGCUGUGUGGAACGCAGGCUGUCUUGGUCGCUUCUCCCGCGCAUUUCCAGAGAAAGUGGGCCAUUUUGACAGGUGGUAACGAAUCUCCGAGGAUGUUUAUCCAAGGCCAAGGAGUAAUUUUAGGGCUUUAGGAGAGCCACCCACACUGACCCUGGAACUUUCUACGUCAACAAAAAUGAUAACCGGAGCAGGACCUUAAACAACUUGCACCUCAGAGGCAUGGGACUGCACUCUACUUCAAAGGAGAUACCUCAGUAUGUAUAUGACCAUGGGAUCCCAGCUUAUGUCACAUUCUACACCAUUCAGAAGCUGCUGGUAUGAUGGAAUAAUGGGGAAGUCUAUUGAAUGAACAGCCUGUAGAAGGCAUUGCUGAAGAGGCAGAUCAGAGGCACUGUUACUGGAGAGCAUUCCACCACUCUGGUUGAUGCCAAAGAUACAUUUCACUAAAAUUGUAAUUACAAUUCUGUAUCUUUGCCCGGUAAAAUGGAAAACAUAGAAAAUAUGCGGAGUUUCAACAUCCACUGUAGACAGAACGUUCUGGCUGAGAGAGGAGUACAACUGCACAAGGUAGGUAACAAUGUUUUUGGCAUUUUUCUCAGCUCUACAUACUGCUUCAACAAAGGAAAAAAGCUAGAACUGGAAAAGGGAGGCAGGAAGGAGAGGUACAAGGAGUCUGA